rnacentral:sRNA from 1 species
CGUGACUGCGCCUCUGCGCCCGCGUCUUGCCGCGGCUCCCGGGAUGCGCGGAGGCGGUGGCGAUGGCGAUGAUGCCUCUAGUCCUGCAUCAUCCAGAGCGGCAGGCGGAGCUGGGGUCCGGACUGCGAGAUGGAGGAGGGGCGGCGCUGCGGCCACCCGGCAGCUGUUGAAAAUGGACAGAUAGAUGUGUUAAGGCUGUUGCUUCAACACGGAGCAAAUGUUAAUGGAUCCCAUUCUAUGUGUGGAUGGAACUCCUUGCACCAGGCUUCUUUUCAGGAAAAUGCUGAGAUCAUAAAAUUGCUUCUUAGAAAAGGAGCAAACAAGGAAUGCCAGGAUGACUUUGGAAUCACACCUUUAUUUGUGGCUGCUCAGUAUGGCAAGCUAGAAAGCUUGAGCAUACUUAUUUCAUCGGGUGCAAAUGUCAAUUGUCAAGCCUUGGACAAAGCUACACCCUUGUUCAUUGCUGCUCAAGAGGGACACACAAAAUGUGUGGAGCUUUUGCUCUCCAGUGGGGCAGAUCCUGAUCUUUACUGUAAUGAGGACAGUUGGCAGUUACCUAUUCAUGCAGCUGCACAAAUGGGCCAUACAAAAAUCUUGGACUUGUUAAUACCACUUACUAACCGGGCCUGUGACACUGGGCGAAACAAAGUAAGCCCUGUUUACUCAGCAGUGUUUGGGGGACAUGAAGAUUGCCUAGAAAUAUUACUCCGGAAUGGCUACAGCCCAGACGCCCAGG